UACAGAGGUCUCAAGCGUUGUCCGGAAUCAUUGGGCGUAAAGCGCGCGUAGGCGGCCCGGUAAGUCCGCUGUAAAAGUCCAGGGCUCAACCCUGGAAAGCCGGUGGAUACUGUCGGGCUAGAGUCCGGAAGAGGCGAGUGGAAUUCCUGGUGUAGCGGUGGAAUGCGCAGAUAUCAGGAAGAACACCCGUGGCGAAGGCGGCUCUCUGGGACGGUACUGACGCUGAGACGCGAAAGCGUGGGGAGCGAACAGG
rnacentral:rRNA from 1 species